rfam:Ailuropoda melanoleuca scaffold2693_14, whole genome shotgun sequence.
GUCAGGAUGGCCGAGUGGUCUAAGGCGCCAGACUCAAGCACCUGCUUCCCGCACUGGGGCUUCUGGUCUCCGCAUGGAGGCGUGGGUUCGAAUCCCACUUCUGACA